GAUGAACGCUGGCGGCGUGCCUAAUACAUGCAAGUCGAACGCACAGCGAAAGGUGCUUGCACCUUUCAAGUGAGUGGCGAACGGGUGAGUAACACGUGGACAACCUGCCUCAAGGCUGGGGAUAACAUUUGGAAACAGAUGCUAAUACCGAAUAAAACUCAGUGUCGCAUGCAACAAAGCUAAAAGGCGCUUUGGCGUCACCUAGAGAUGGAUCCGCGGUGCAUUAGUUAGUUGGUGGGGUAAAGGCCUACCAAGAAAAUGAUGCAUAGCCGAGUUGAGAGACGGAGCGGCCACAUUGGGACUGAGACACGGCCCAAACUCCUACGGGAGGCUGCAGUAGGGAAUCUUCCACAAUGGGCGAAAGCCUGAUGGAGCAACGCCGCGUGUGUGAUGAAGGCUUUCGGGUCGUAAAGCACUGUUGUAUGGGAAGAACAGCUAGAAUAGGGAAUGAUUUUAGUUUGACGGUACCAUACCAGAAAGGGACGGCUAAAUACGUGCCAACCGCCGCCGUAA
rnacentral:rRNA from 1 species